rnacentral:lncRNA from 1 species
UAAUGGGGAAUGUGGUUCCUUUUGGGACCACAAGGGAACCAUGAUAAAGGUUGUGGGGGAGUAUGAUAUGUAAUGAUAUCCCAUCAGCCUUCACUUCUUCAAAAGUUCGGGUUACAUCCUUCCCACCAAAAAAUGAUUAAUCUCCUUUUGCCUGUAUCCACUGUUGGACCAUGCCAUAGUUGAAUUGAGAUUUAUGAGACAAA